rnacentral:rRNA from 1 species
GGGGAAUUUUCCGCAAUGGGCGCAAGCCUGACGGAGCAAUACCGCGUGAGGGAGGAAGGCUUUUGGGUCGUAAACCUCUUUUAUUGGGGAAGAAGAACUGACGGUACCCAAUGAAUCAGCAUCGGCUAACUCCGUGCCAGCAGCCGCGGUAAUACGGAGGAUGCAAGCGUUAUCCGGAAUUAUUGGGCGUAAAGCGUCCGCAGGUGGUUGUGCAAGUCUGCUGUUAAAGCGUCCAGCUUAACUGGAUAUCGGCAGUGGAAACUGUGCGACUAGAGUUCGGUAGGGGUCACGGGAAUUCCCAGUGUAGCGGUGAAAUGCGUAGAUAUUGGGAAGAACACCAGCGGCGAAAGCGCGUGACUGGGCCUGAACUGACACUGAUGGACGAAAGCUAGGGGAGCGAAAGGGAUUAGAUACCCCUGUAGUCCUAGCUGUAAACGACGACAACUAGGUGUUGCGCGUAUCGACCCGUGCAGUGCCGUAGCUAACGCGUUAAGUUGUCCGCCUGGGGAGUACGCACGCAAGUGUGAAACUCAAAGGAAUUGACGGGGGCCCGCACAAGCGGUGGAGUAUGUGGUUUAAUUCGAUGCAACGCGAAGAACCUUACCAGGGCUUGACAUGUCGCGAAUCCUCUUGAAAGGGAGGAGUGCCUUCGGGAGCGCGAACACAGGUGGUGCAUGGCUGUCGUCAGCUCGUGUCGUGAGAUGUUGGGUUAAGUCCCGCAACGAGCGCAACCCUCGUCGUUAGUUGCCAGCAUUAAGUUGGGCACUCUAGCGAGACUGCCGGUGACAAACCGGAGGAAGGUGGGGAUGACGUCAAGUCAGCAUGCCCCUUACGUCCUGGGCUACACACGUACUACAAUGCUGUGGACAAAGAGCAGCGAGCCGGCGACGGCAAGCCAAUCUCAUAAACCACGGCUCAGUUCAGAUUGCAGGCUGCAACUCGCCUGCAUGAAGGCGGAAUCGCUAGUAAUCGCAGGUCAGCAUACUGCGGUGAAUACGUUCCCGGGCCUUGUACACACCGCCCGUCACACCAUGGGAGUUGGCCACGCCCGAAGUCGUUACUCCAACCGUUCGCGGAGGGGGACGCCGAAGGCAGGGCUGAUGACUGGGGUGAAGUCGUAACAAGGUAGCCGUACCGGAAGGUGUGGCUGGAUCACCUCCUU